rnacentral:ncRNA from 1 species
UGAUAGCUAUGAAGCGUGAGGUUGCUGCCGAAGCUGACGUAAGCAGUGUAUGGCAGGUUUUCCGUGGAGCGAAUGUCAAGUUAGGAUAA